rnacentral:tRNA from 1 species
GUCGUUGUAGUAUAGUGGUGAGUAUCCCCGCCUGUCACGGGGAGACCCGGGUUCGAUCCCCGGCAACGGCG